rnacentral:tRNA from 1 species
AAAGAUUUAGUUAAAUAAUAACAUUAGAUUGUCAAACUAAAAUUACCAAUUAAUUGGUAUUCUUUA